AACGUAGGAUGCAAGCGUUGUCCGGAUUUAUUGGGUUUAAAGGGUGCGCAGGCGCCUUAUUAAGUGAGUGGUGAAAACGUUCGGCUCAACCGGAUACCCGCCAUUGAUACUGAUAGACUUGAGUGCGACAGAGGGUGUUGGAAUGUGUGGUGUAGCGGUGAAAUGCUUAGAUAUCACGCAGAACACCAAUUGCGAAGGCAGAUGCCUAUGUCGUAACUGACGCUGCGGCACGAAAGCGUGGGGAGCAAACAGG
rnacentral:rRNA from 1 species